rfam:Triticum aestivum genome assembly, contig: Triticum_aestivum_CS42_TGACv1_scaffold_130375_2BL
UUUGUACUCCCUCCGUCCGGAAAUACUUGUCCUCAAAAUGGGUGUAUCUAGAUGUAUUUUAGUUCUAGAUACAUCCAUUUGUAUCCAUUUUUACAACAAGUAUUUUUGGACGGAGGGAGUAUACA